rnacentral:rRNA from 1 species
AACGAACGCUGGCGGCAUGCCUAACACAUGCAAGUCGAACGAUGGUCUUCGGAUCAUUGUGGCGCACGGGUGCGUAACGCGUGGGAAUCUGCCCUUGGGUUCGGAAUAACAGUUGGAAACGACUGCUAAUACCGGAUGAUGUCGAUAAGACCAAAGAUUUAUCGCCCGAGGAUGAGCCCGCGUCGGAUUAGCUGGUUGGUGGGGUAAAGGCCUACCAAGUCGACGAUCCGUAGCUGGUCUGAGAGGAUGAGCAGCCACACUGGGACUGAGACACGGCCCAGACUCCUACGGGAGGCAGCAGUGGGGAAUAUUGGACAAUGGGCGCAAGCCUGAUCCAGCAAUGCCGCGUGAGUGAUGAAGGCCUUAGGGUUGUAAAGCUCUUUUACCCGGGAAGAUAAUGACUGUACCGGGAGAAUAAGCCCCGGCUAACUCCGUG